UCUUCGGAGACGAGGGUGGUCACCAAUCCCAGACAAGCCCCCAAAUGAAAGACUUCUGGGGUGGGGAGACCCUCACUCAAGUUUUGGGAUGAUGUGACCUCCCAAGAACUCACAAGAGACC
rnacentral:pre_miRNA from 14 species